rnacentral:hammerhead_ribozyme from 1 species
AGCCGACUGACGAAUCACAAAUAGGACGAAACUCGAGUUCUGGAU